rnacentral:tRNA from 1 species
GCCUGUUCAGCACGGACCCGAACACGGCCACGCACGCCUGAACGAGGCCUGCCAACCACGCCCAGACAGUCUCCGUGCUGCCUCGUAAUGCGUAGGUCGUGGGUUCGAUUCCCACAGGCGGCU